rnacentral:rRNA from 1 species
ACUCCUACGGGAGGCAGCAGUGGGAAUAUUGCACAAUGGGCGCAAGCCUGAUGCAGCGACGCCGCGUGGGGAUGGACGGCCUCGGGUUGUAACCUCUUUCAAUAGGGACGAAGCGCAAGUGACGGUACCUAUAGAAGAAGCACCGGCCAACUACGUGCCAGCAGCCGCGGUAAUACGUAGGGUGCGAGCGUUGUCCGGAAUUACUGGGCGUAAAGAGCUCGUAGGUGGUUUGUCGCGUUGUCCGUGAAAUCUCACAGCUUAACUGUGAGCGUGCGGGCGAUACGGGCAGACUGGAGUACUGCAGGGGAGACUGGAAUUCCUGGUGUAGCGGUGGAAUGCGCAGAUAUCAGGAGGAACACCGGUGGCGAAGGCGGGUCUCUGGGCAGUAACUGACGCUGAGGAGCGAAAGCGUGGGGAGCGAACAGGAUUAGAUACCCUGGUAGGCUCUG